AAAUUGAAGAGUUUGAUCAUGGCUCAGAUUGAACGCUGGCGGCAGGCCUAACACAUGCAAGUCGAACGGUAACAGGAAGCAGCUUGCUGCUUUGCUGACGAGUGGCGGACGGGUGAGUAAUGUCUGGGAAACUGCCUGAUGGAGGGGGAUAACUACUGGAAACGGUGGCUAAUACCGCAUAACGUCGCAAGACCAAAGAGGGGGACCUUCGGGCCUCUUGCCAUCAGAUGUGCCCAGAUGGGAUUAGCUUGUUGGUGAGGUAACGGCUCACCAAGGCGACGAUCCCUAGCUGGUCUGAGAGGAUGACCAGCCACACUGGAACUGAGACACGGUCCAGACUCCUACGGGAGGCAGCAGUGGGGAAUAUUGCACAAUGGGCGCAAGCCUGAUGCAGCCAUGCCGCGUGUAUGAAGAAGGCCUUCGGGUUGUAAAGUACUUUCAGCGGGGAGGAAGGUGUUGCGGUUAAUAACCGCAGCAAUUGACGUUACCCGCAGAAGAAGCACCGGCUAACUCCGUGCCAGCAGCCGCGGUAAUACGGAGGGUGCAAGCGUUAAUCGGAAUUACUGGGCGUAAAGCGCACGCAGGCGGUCUGUCAAGUCGGAUGUGAAAUCCCCGGGCUCAACCUGGGAACUGCAUUCGAAACUGGCAGGCUUGAGUCUUGUAGAGGGGGGUAGAAUUCCAGGUGUAGCGGUGAAAUGCGUAGAGAUCUGGAGGAAUACCGGUGGCGAAGGCGGCCCCCUGGACAAAGACUGACGCUCAGGUGCGAAAGCGUGGGGAGCAAACAGGAUUAGAUACCCUGGUAGUCCACGCCGUAAACGAUGUCUACUUGGAGGUUGUGCCCUUGAGGCGUGGCUUCCGGAGCUAACGCGUUAAGUAGACCGCCUGGGGAGUACGGCCGCAAGGUUAAAACUCAAAUGAAUUGACGGGGGCCCGCACAAGCGGUGGAGCAUGUGGUUUAAUUCGAUGCAACGCGAAGAACCUUACCUGGUCUUGACAUCCACGGAAGUUUUCAGAGAUGAGAAUGUGCCUUCGGGAACCGUGAGACAGGUGCUGCAUGGCUGUCGUCAGCUCGUGUUGUGAAAUGUUGGGUUAAGUCCCGCAACGAGCGCAACCCUUAUCCUUUGUUGCCAGCGGUUAGGCCGGGAACUCAAAGGAGACUGCCAGUGAUAAACUGGAGGAAGGUGGGGAUGACGUCAAGUCAUCAUGGCCCUUACGACCAGGGCUACACACGUGCUACAAUGGCGCAUACAAAGAGAAGCGACCUCGCGAGAGCAAGCGGACCUCAUAAAGUGCGUCGUAGUCCGGAUUGGAGUCUGCAACUCGACUCCAUGAAGUCGGAAUCGCUAGUAAUCGUGGAUCAGAAUGCCACGGUGAAUACGUUCCCGGGCCUUGUACACACCGCCCGUCACACCAUGGGAGUGGGUUGCAAAAGAAGUAGGUAGCUUAACCUUCGGGAGGGCGCUUACCACUUUGUGAUUCAUGACUGGGGUGAAGUCGUAACAAGGUAACCGUAGGGGAACCUGCGGUUGGAUCACCUCCUUACCUUAAAGAA
rnacentral:rRNA from 1 species